rnacentral:rRNA from 1 species
GACGAACGCUGGCGGCGUGCUUAACACAUGCAAGUCGAACGGAAAGGCCCUGCUGUUGUUGGGUGCUCGAGUGGCGAACGGGUGAGUAACACGGGAGUGACCUGCCCUUGACUUUUGGAUAACUUCAGGAAACUGGGGCUAAUACCGGAUAGUAACUCCGCCUGCAUGGAGGGGGUGGGAAAGUUUCGGCGGUUGGGGAUGGACUCGCGGCGUAUCAGCUUGUUGGUGGGGUAGGGGCUUACCAAGGCCUUGACGGGUAGCCGGCCUGAGAGGGUGACCGGCCACAUUGGGACUGAGAUACGGCCCAGACUACUACGGGAGGCAGCAGUGGGGAAUAUUGCACAAUGGGCGGAAGCCUGAUGCAGCAACGCAGCGUGGGGGAUGACGGCCUUCGGGUUGUAAACCGCUUUCGCCUGUGACGAAGCGUGAGUGACGGUAAUGGGUAAAGAAGCACCGGCUAAAUACGUG